GACAGAGGAGCCAAGCGUUGUCCGGAUUGACUGGGCGUAAAGCGCACGCAGGCGGAUGCGCGCGUGGGGUGUGAAAUCUGGCCGCUUAACGGCCAGGCGCCAUCCCAUACGGCGCGUCUGGAGUGAUGCAGAGGUCGAUGGAAUCGCCGGUGUAGUGGUGAAAUGCGUAGAGAUCGGCAGGAACACCCAGGGGGAAACCAGUCGACUGGGCAUCUACUGACGCUGAGGUGCGAGAGCGUGGGGAGCGAACCGG
rnacentral:rRNA from 1 species